GACGUAGGGCGCGAGCGUUGUCCGGAUUUAUUGGGCGUAAAGAGCUCGUAGGCGGCUUGUCGCGUCGUCCGUGAAAACCCACAGCUCAACUGUGGGCUUGCGGUCGAUACGGGCAGGCUAGAGUUCGGUAGGGGAGACUGGAAUUCCUGGUGUAGCGGUGAAAUGCGCAGAUAUCAGGAGGAACACCGAUGGCGAAGGCAGGUCUCUGGGCAUUAACUGACGUGGAGGAGCGAAAGCAUGGGGAGCGAACAGG
rnacentral:rRNA from 1 species